rnacentral:rRNA from 1 species
UUCCUACGGGAGGCAGCAGUGGGGAAUAUUGCACAAUGGGCGCAAGCCUGAUGCAGCAACGCCGCGUGAGGGAUGACGGCCUUCGGGUUGUAAACCUCUUUUAGUAGGGAAGAAGCGAAAGUGACGGUACCUGCAGAAAAAGCACCGGCUAACUACGUGCCAGCAGCCGCGGUAAUACGUAGGGUGCAAGCGUUGUCCGGAAUUAUUGGGCGUAAAGAGCUCGUAGGCGGUUUGUCGCGUCUGCUGUGAAAUCCCGAGGCUCAACCUCGGGUCUGCAGUGGGUACGGGCAGACUAGAGUGCGGUAGGGGAGAUUGGAAUUCCUGGUGUAGCGGUGGAAUGCGCAGAUAUCAGGAGGAACACCGAUGGCGAAGGCAGAUCUCUGGGCCGUAACUGACGCUGAGGAGCGAAAGCAUGGGGAGCGAACAGGAUUAGAUACCCUGGUAGUCCAUGCCGUAAACGUUGGGAACUAGAUGUGGGGACCAUUCCACGGUCUCCGUGUCGCAGCUAACGCAUUAAGUUCCCCGCCUGGGGAGUACGGCCGCAAGGCUAAAACUCAAAGGAAUUGACGGGGGCCCGCACAAGCGGCGGAGCAUGCGGAUUAAUUCGAUGCAACGCGAAGAACCUUACCAAGGCUUGACAUAUACCGGAAACAUGCAGAGAUGUGUGCCCCGCAAGGUCGGUAUACAGGUGGUGCAUGGUUGUCGUCAGCUCGUGUCGUGAGAUGUUGGGUUAAGUCCCGCAACGAGCGCAACCCUCGUUCUAUGUUGCCAGCACGUAAUGGUGGGAACUCAUAGGAGACUGCCGGGGUCAACUCGGAGGAAGGUGGGGAUGACGUCAAAUCAUCAUGCCCCUUAUGUCUUGGGCUUCACGCAUGCUACAAUGGCCGGUACAAAGGGCUGCGAUACCGUAAGGUGGAGCGAAUCCCAAAAAGCCGGUCUCAGUUCGGAUUGAGGUCUGCAACUCGACCUCAUGAAGUCGGAGUCGCUAGUAAUCGCAGAUCAGCAACGCUGCGGUGAAUACGUUCCCGGGCCUUGUACACACCGCCCGUCAAGUCAUGAAAGUCGGUAACACCCGAAGCCAGUGGCCUAACCGCAAGGGAGGA